CUUGCCCACGGGAGAAUGGCUGCUGUGGCGCCUAGAUUUCCGCCCCCGCCCCCUUUUACAGAGGACCCCGGGUGAAACGUCUCUCCUUCCCGUGACCCCUUCGCUAACGCCUCCGCCUUAAAGACUACACUCCCCAGUGACCCAGCAGUGACUCCUGCCUCCGGUGCCGGGCCCACCCCUCGACUGGCGGAAGUGAUGUGCCCGGGGUUGAGCUCGGCCCACGUGCACACCUGCCCUCCCCUUAAACUGUUAAGCACAGAUUCCAAGAGAGCCUGGGAUUCUAAAACACCAUUUGAGGUCGGCGUGCGGGUACCAGUUCACACGGGCGGGAGCCGAACUCACCUCUGCCAUCACCCAGGUUUCCUGGGCUGCGGCACGUGGGGUCAGAGCCUCCAGGCACCUUCAGGUAGGAGACCAACACAGAGACAAAGCUGCUUCUGUAAUCGUGGCCCCUGUGUAGAAGUCUCCAGCAUCUCAUGACUGUGAGGAGCAGAGCCAGGAUUCAAACCCAGGUGCGCCCAGUUCCAGAGACGGCACAGAGCUGGGCCAGGAGAGUGGACUUGGUGCUCGGGCUGCCGUGGGAGCUCGUCGCCCACAGCAGAGGGGACAAGCCAGCAGCCUCGGGCUCCAGUGGUCCAAAGACAAGUCUUCCUUGGUGUGUGCUAUACUUAAAGUUUAUUUCCAAUUUGCUUUUUAUUGUGGGAAAAUACACAUAAAAUUUACCUUCUUAACUACUUUUAAGUGCACAGUUCAAUGGCAUUAAGUACACUCACAUUGUUGUGCAACCAUCUCCACUAUCUGUCUCCCAAACUCUUUUCCUCUUACAAAACCCUGUCCCCAUUAAACACUAACUCCCCAUUCCCCACUCCCCCAGCCCCUGGCAACCACAGUUCUACUUUCUACUGAAUUUCUAUGAAUUUUAUGAUUUUAAGUACCUUGUCUAAAUGGAAUGAUUUGUGGGCUUCCUUGGUGACUCAGUGGUAAAGAAUCCACCUGCCAAUGCAGGAAACGAGGGUUGGAUCCCUGGGUUGGGAAGAUCCCCUUGAGGAGGAAAUGGCAACCCACUCCAGUAUUCUUGCCUGAGAAAUCCCAUGGACAGAGGAAACUGGCGGGCGACAAUCCACAGGGUCACAAAAGAGUUGGAUAUGACUUGGCGACUGAACAACAACAAUACUAUUUGUCUGGUUGUGACUGGCUUAUUUCCCGUAUCAUAAUGUCAGUGAUGUUCUAUGUUAGGUUCAUGUUGAAGUAUGUGUCAGAAUAUUCUACCUUUUUAAGGUUGAAUAGAUUUCCAUCAUCUGAAUAUACCACACUUUAUUCAUUCAUUCAUCCAUCAAUGGACAGCGAGGGUACUUCCACAUUUUAGCUAUUGUGAAUAAUUCUGCUAUGAACAUGAGUGUACAAACACCUCUUUGAGACCCUGUUUCAAAUCAUACAUCCAGAAAUGGAAUUGCUGUAUCAUAGGGUAAUUCUAUCCUUAAUUUUUUGAUGAAUAGCCAUCCUGUUUUCCCCAGCAGCUGUACCUGGUGGCAUUCCCAUCAGCAGUGUACAAGGGUUCCAGCCUGCCUACAUUUUCACCAAGACUUUUUGUUUGUUUGUUAUAUUAUCUUUUAAAUAAUAACCUGUCCUAAUGGGGAUGAGGUGGUAUCUCACUGUUGUUUGAUUUUCAUUUCCCUAAUGAUGACUGAUGCUGAACAUCUUUUCAAUUAAAAAAGAAAGUUUCCAACAUGAACAAUCUGGAAACUUCACAACUCCAAAUUCCUGGCCUCUUUUGACAAAUCAAAAGCUUCGUUCCCACAAGGCAAGUGGGCCAGGGGUGGGUGGGGGCUCCCUCUGGAAGGGUCAAGGCUCUCCUGCUCACCCUGGUCCCCACCACUACUCCCUCCCUGCUGCCUGACCCGGGGGCAUGGGUGUCUGAGACUCCCUGAGGGGUGGCCAGCGUUGCUCUCAAUGAGUCCAGACCUUUAGGCAAACGUCUCACCCCAGUCCAGUCCUGUGUUUUCCCCACCUGGCCCCUGGGGCCUCUGGAAUACUGGGGAUCAGCUCUGGAGGCCACAUGUGACUGGAUUUCUUCUCCGUGUGCUUCUUACAAUCAUCUCCCAACAGGAGGAUUUGCUAAACAAUCAGAGAAAAGCUUUCUCCCAUGAAACUUAAUAAAUCCACCAAGAAUCUGGGCAUGACCAGGGAGGGACAUCCUGAGCCCAGACGAUCUUGGGAGGGGCCGCCUGAGGCCUUUUGAAAUCAAGAGCAGGCUGAGCCCUGGUCACAGCGGCAUUUCGUUUCGCUGCUUUGGAGUAAAUGGAACAGCUUGAUGAGGCUUUCUUGAGAUGAUAGUGACAAUACUAAAGAAGUUGCUGGGGCGAAACGUGUCUACUGCUACACCUACUAAACAAAUGCGCAGAGGGUGUUCUUGGUGACGAAUGCCCGCCCUAUGCCCUGUGGGGAGAAGGCGGGGAUGGUGGGAAUCCACUCUCCCACGGUCUACAGCCUGUACCCAGGAUAUGUGGCAGAAACACCAAGACCUAGAGAAGAAAAUCUGCGAUCUUGUGUGUCUGAGAAGAUGGGCAGGACCCUUCGCGCCUGCUCCCGGACUGAACCUGGUGAAUCGCCCAGCAUCUCAUGGUGAGGAAGUCAGGAGCAGGAGACUCUGGGGCAAAUCCAGAGAGGAGAGGAAUCACCUGGGGCCAUCUUCCUGGGACCUCUAAGUCUUACUCUUAUGCAAGGAUCUAUUCCUAUUAACCACAGGCUUCUCCUUCCUAGCACCUGGAGGAAGUGUACCCAUUUCACAGAAGAGCAAAUGGAGGUUUGCGUCACAGUGGCACAUGACCCUUGAUGUGAUCUAUAAAAGUGUUAUUAAAGGUCUAUUUGGCUAUUUAAAAACUCCGAGUGCCUACCUAAGUUGAUUAGGUGCAGCCUGAAUCAAUGAAAGCUUUAGCAAAAAGAUGCUCAAGCUACCCACAGUGAAGUCUGGUCAUUCUGCAAAUGUGGGCUGGCCCCAGAAAUCCUUAAGGGGCCCAUGAUGCAUCAGAACAAAAGUGAAAGUGAAAGUCGCUCAGUCAUGUCUGACUCUUUGCAAACCCAUGGACUAUACAUCCAUGGACUUCUCCAGGCCAGAAUACUAGAGUGGGUAGCCUUUCCCUUCUCCAGGGAUCUUCCCAACCCAGGGAUCAAACCCAGGUCUCCCGAAUUGCAGGCAGAUUCUUUACCAGCUGACCACAAGGGAAGCCUGUGUCAGAACAAAGGGGCAGCUCUAUUAUGAUUGUAAUAACAGAAAGUAGGUUCAUUGAGCACCAGCAUUAAACAUCCUUCAGGCCAAGUAGGCUGCUAAACCUUCCCACACUCUGUCCCCCUGGUCUUCGAGGUCAUACUGAAUUCAGGGAAUCGAGGCACAGAAAAAUCUCCAGGCUUUGGCUCCAGGGGCUGUGCUGCCAGUCAUCCUGCGGAACUAAUCUUCCAACCACUCCGACCGCAGGGCUCUGUGUGCUUCUCUAAAUGAACUGCCAUCUGCUUGCCCUGCCUACUCAGAGCAUCAUUCCAAAAGCAAUCUGCCCCCCUACACUCCAUGGCUUUUGGUUUCCUGCAAGAAGUGAGAGCAUCUGUAUCCGUGAUUCUCAUUCCUCACGACACGCUGAAGUGGGUGCUGGUCUAGAACCAGGAGAGGUGAGCAGUGUGGGCACAGGUGAGUGGCAGACUCAGGGCGCACUGUCCCUCUGCCCUAGAGCUUGGGUCCCUGUGGUCCACGCACAGUGAGUGAAUAAGCAUGGCCAGUUCUUCCAGGCUGUCCUCCAUACAGCAAAAACUUCUUAAAUAAUAUUUUGGGUUAAUGUUUUUGUAAAAUUUACUGUUUUCCUUGCAUUUUUUCUUCUUCUACUGUCAGACUUAAUUUUAGCAAUUUUGAUGGAAAAUUUUCUAAGUGGCUUUACAUGUUUCUUUACAUUUUUCUUUCAGGGCAGCUUGAAAAAAAAACUUUAUUAUGGAGAAUUUUGAAGAUACACAAAAGUAGUUCAUAGUAGAAACCCGCAGUGUGCCCUCUGCCAGGUCUGGCCUCUGGGCUCACAUCACAUCUGUGGAACCAAUCACGCUGUGAGUGUAGCAGGAAUAUGGUCAUUAUCAUGGUGAAUGUCUCUGCCAGGCAUUUGCACUGCUAUGAAAGAUUAUGUUGAGUGAAUAGAUCACAGUUUAUCUGUCCUUCUGCUGAUGGACAUUUGAGUUGGUUUUGAUUGGAAGAUGGAGCCAGCAAAAAUACUGAAAAUGUUCCUGCCUGUGACACUGGAGACUCUGUACGCUCACUUCUUGCCCUUCUUACUUUUAUUUAAGUAUAGUUGAUUUAUAAUUGGGUUAAUUUCUACUGUACAGCAAAGUGAUUCAGUUACAUGCAUAUGUGCAUUCUUUUUAAUAUUCUUUUCCAUUAUGGUUUGUUACAGGAUAUUGAAUAUAUUUCUAUGUGCUAUACAGUAGGAUCUUAUUGUUUAUCCAUUCUGUAUAUAAUGGUUUGUAUCUGCUAAUCCCAAACUCCCAACCCAUCUGUCCCCCACCAUCCCUCCCCUUGGCAACCACAAGUCUGUUCUCUAUGUCAGUGAGUCUGUUUCUAUUUCAUAGAUAUGUUCAUUUGUGUCAUAUUUUAGAUUUCACAUAUAAGUGAUUGUAUUUGUCUUUCUCUGACUUACUUUACUCGGUAUGAUAAUUGCUGCUGCUGCUGCUAAGUUGCUUCAGUCGUGUCUGACUCUGUGUGACCCCAUAGACGGCAGCCCACCAGGCUCCGCCAUCCCUGAGAUUCUCCAGGCAAGAAAACUGGAGUGGGUUGCCAUUUCCUUCUCCAAUACAUGAAAGUGAAAAGUGAAAGUGAAAUCACUCAGUCAUGUCCGACUCUUCGAGACCCCAUGGACUUUAGCCUACCAGGCUCCUCUGUCCAUGGGAUUUUCC
rnacentral:lncRNA from 1 species